AACGCACGAGACCUGCGGACCUGCGGAAGGAUCAUUACAGGGUAAUGCCGGAUAAUGUUUUUCUGCUCUUUUUUGAGUUGAAAUCUUAUCCCGGCAGCCAUGAUCAUCCCUUUGUGCAUAUAUUGAUAAUCGAGGGUUUUUGUGGCAGACCUGAAAAAUCUGUCAUGAUUCCCUCUAAUAAACUUUUUUUUUUUAUAAAUUUGACUGAAUAAUUGUUAUUUGAUAAUAAAUACAACUUUC
rnacentral:misc_RNA from 1 species